UGCAGUCGAGCGAGAAAGCCCUUCGGGGUGAGUACAGCGGCGGACGGGUGAGUAACGCGUAGGAAUCUACCUAGUAGUGGGGGACAACUCGUGGAAACGCGAGCUAAUACCGCAUACGCCCUACGGGGGAAAGCGGGGGAUCUUCGGACCUCGUGCUAUUAGAUGAGCCUGCGUAAGAUUAGCUAGUUGGUGGGGUAAUGGCCUACCAAGGCGACGAUCUUUAGCUGGUCUGAGAGGAUGAUCAGCCACACCGGGACUGAGACACGGCCCGGACUCCUACGGGAGGCAGCAGUCGGGAAUAUUGCGCAAUGGGCGAAAGCCUGACGCAGCCAUGCCGCGUGUGUGAAGAAGGCCCUAGGGUUGUAAAGCACUUUCAAUUGGGAGGAAAAGCUAAUGGUUAAUAGCCAUUAGCCCUGACGUUACCUUUAGAAGAAGCACCGGCUAACUCCGUGCCAGCAGCCGCGGUAAUACGGAGGGUGCAAGCGUUAAUCGGAAUUACUGGGCGUAAAGCGCGCGUAGGCGGUUUUUUAAGUCGGAUGUGAAAGCCCCGGGCUCAACCUGGGAAUUGCAUCCGAUACUGGAUGACUAGAAUGCGGGAGAGGGAGGUAGAAUUCCAUGUGUAGCAGUGAAAUGCGUAGAUAUAUGGAGGAAUACCAGUGGCGAAGGCGGCCUCCUGGCUCGACAUUGACGCUGAGGUGCGAAAGCGUGGGGAGCAAACGGGAUUAGAUACCCCGGUAGUCCACGCCGUAAACGAUGUCUACUAGCUGUAGGGGUACUUGAGACCUUUGUAGCGCAGCUAACGCAAUAAGUAGACCGCCUGGGGAGUACGGCCGCAAGGUUAAAACUCAAAUGAAUUGACGGGGGCCCGCACAAGCAGUGGAGCAUGUGGUUUAAUUCGAUGCAACGCGAAGAACCUUACCAGGCCUUGACAUCCCCGGAACUUUCUAGAGAUAGAUUGGUG
rnacentral:rRNA from 1 species